rnacentral:lncRNA from 1 species
GGGAAGAGGGGGUGAAACCUUCUUGCAUGAGAGUGGAGACGAGUGGGGCGUACUCGAACCAGAGGCCGAGGCGGUUGGAGAGGACUUCAAGGCGGCUACCGGUAUCGAGAGAGCGGAAGUGGGAGGGUAUUGGGGCGUUGGGUGAGGGUGGCCUGAAGGGUUGGUAAAGUUCUGGCUGCUGAGAGUGUCGUGGGGUUGAGGAGGAGGGGAUGAUGGUAGCUGAGAUUGGUUUUACAUGGGUUUUUAGGCGGUGGUGGUGAUGGCGGCGGUGGAGGAGGUGGUGGUGGGAGAGAGAAAGGGAGGCGGGAGCGUUGAGAGAGAGCAUGGUGAGGGGGGUGAAG